UACGAAGGGGGCUAGCGUUGUUCGGAAUUACUGGGCGUAAAGCGCACGUAGGCGGACAUUUAAGUCAGGGGUGAAAUCCCGGAGCUCAACUCCGGAACUGCCUUUGAUACUGGGUGUCUUGAGUGUGGAAGAGGUGAGUGGAAUUCCGAGUGUAGAGGUGAAAUUCGUAGAUAUUCGCAAGAACACCAGUGGCGAAGGCGGCUCACUGGCCCGAUACUGACGCUGAGGCACGAAAGCGUGGGGAGCAAACAGGG
rnacentral:rRNA from 1 species